GGUACCCACCUCCCCCUAUUCCUCGUCCGUCAAAAUAUCACGCGCCAAGUGAAAAGAUGGGAGCGAAACUUUUCUAUCCACCGUCUCCCUCUCGCCUGAUUUCUCCAUCUUGCCUGAUUUCUCUCUCUCGCCCAAACUUCCAUCACCACGACUCUGCCGCCGCCACCUCCAAAUUCUUUUUGACGACCAUCUGCUAUCGCCACCACCAACCAGCCCCACCGCAACCGCCAGCCUCCACGAUGGCUGCAGGCCUGUAGCAGGCCGCCAUGCCUGCGCCGAGCAGCCGCCGCCGCCGAACUCCCGCAGUCAGAUCUAGGCCCAAGCCCACACGAGACCAGCAGAUCCCCACACCACCGGCCACUGCCUCCUCCUCUCCGAUGCAAGCCGGCACCACCGCCGGCGCCGCGGAGGAGACACCUUGACGCCACAGAUGCUGCCGUGAACCCCGCCGCAUGGAUUACCACCGGUGGCCACGAGCUCCCCCAAGUCGCGAGCGCACCACUUGACUCUGGGAGGAACGGAUCCCGUAGCCGCUGGUGACGGAGAGAGGGAGGAGGAGGUGGAGCCAGCAACAUCGCACCGUCGGUAACAACACACAUCUUGAGGGACUUGCUCGGUUCCUCUGAAUCCUUAUAUUCUACCGUAAUCUAUGAUAGAUGUUCCAACAUAGCUACUACUGUAUGCACCUUUAACUGUUUAUUAUUUAAGAUCACGUUGUGGAAAAAAUUAUUUGCAACUUCAAACUACUAGUAUCACAGGUUUUGGCUGUAACACAUGUUCACCUUCAACGCUAACCAGCAAAAACGAUAAUGUACAGGUACCCUAUUGGUUGAUUUGCACGCAUAGAUGAAUCGUGCUGCACACCAAGGCUUCUAACCAUACCUUCAUGUUAUAUAUACAAAUGAUUUAUUCUUAACCCUAGUCGCAACGGUGGCCGGCGCGGUUCUCUCGCCUACGGUCUGUAGGCCCACUAAAUCACGUGUGUGUGCUACUGCCCGCUCGGGCAUGACAGUGUUGCGCCACCCCGGCCCUGCUAUAUUGUUUCGACGGUUAAUCUGGACUGUAGGUUGGAUCUGAAACAAAUUACCUUAUAAGCUCGUAGUGCAAGUAUGAUUCAGCUGCUAAUGCUUUUCCCCUUCCGUUAUCAAGAUAAAACAUGCAUUGAACCUAUGAUGAACUCUAUUGACAUCAUCAUCUUUGUUCUGGAGGAUAUGGAGGAGCUCCAGGCUGCCUCGACAUUGGCUUCAGGUUGUCAUACCAUGAAAUCUCCGAGCUCUGCAAGUCACUUACGUGCUGGAGUUGUACUACUCCAUGACAUGGAGGACAAAUGAUACAUGAUCAGAGGGCCAAGUGGCGACAAGGAUCAAAUUUCUUGAUUAUAGCAUAUGCCACAUUGGACUGGGUGCUGAGAAUCUUGAUUCAUGGAUUGGGAAAUACUAAAGUGUAACAUUUAGUUAUCAAGUUGAGAAGUUCAAUAAUACAGUACAUGGUUACUUGGAUACUUGGAGAAUAUGGAUCUGUUUGGUUCAGAGCCGAGAGCCGCCGUGCCAAAUUGUUGGCAAAGUGCGUUGGCCAGCAUUUGGAUGGACGCCAACUUUGGUCCUGCUUCAGUUUGCUGCUCCAACUCUUGGUGAGAUGACGGCGGCGAAUUUGUCCGCCAAAUAUUUGGCGAGCCUAGCUUUGGUAGGGCUAGCAUGGGCGCAAGCCAGAAGCCCCUAUAUGUUGAUGCUUGGUACUUGGAGGAGAGUCGAAAACAAUUCUUUCAAUUUUUAGAAACUUUAUAUUAUGUAAAGUGUAUUUUCUAAGAAAGUGAUGUACUCCUAACUGAUGAUACUUGCAUUGCAAUGUAACAGAUUGUGCAAUUGAAUCAAUAUACUAGUUCAU